CAGCCACAUCACAUUGAAAUACUGGUCCUCAUAUGAUUAUUAAAGUUAAGCAACACAGAGCCUGGUCAGUACCUAGAUGGGUGACCACUUGGGAAUAGUAGGUGUUGUAAG